rnacentral:rRNA from 1 species
UACGUAGGGGGCAAGCGUUGUUCGGAAUUACUGGGCGUAAAGGGCGCGUAGGCGGCAUGGCAAGUCAGGAGUGAAAGGCCUGGGCUCAACCGAGGAACUGCUUUUGAUACUGCCAAGCUAGAGUGCGGAAGGGGCAACUGGAAUUCCCAGUGUAGCGGUGAAAUGCGUAGAUAUUGGGAAGAACACCUGAGGCGAAGGCGGGUUGCUGGGCCGACACUGACGCUGAGGCGCGAAAGCUAGGGGAGCAAAGCGGG